GGGGGCUUAGCUCAUUUGGUAGAGCGUCUGAUUUGCAUUCAGAAGGUGAGGAGUUCGAAUCUCCUAGCCUCCA
rnacentral:tRNA from 1 species